rnacentral:rRNA from 1 species
GGCGAAAGGGAGAGUAAUACAUGGUUAGCUGCCCUCGGGACUGGAAUAGCGGCGGGAAACUGCCGGUAAGGCCAGAUGACGUCUUCGGACCAAACGUGUAAACCGGCCCGAGGAGGUGACCAUGGCCUAUCAGCUUGUUGGCGGGGUAACGGCCCACCAAGGCUAAGACGGGUAUGGGGCGUGAGAGCGUGCCCCCACUCACUGGGACUGAGAACUGCCCAGACACCUACGGGUGGCUGCAGUCGAGAAUCUUCGGCAAUGGGCGCAAGCCUGACCGAGCGACACCGCGUGCGGGAUGAAGGCCUUCGGGUUGUAAACCGCUGUCGUAGGGGAGGAAGGUCUGGUGUAUAGCCAGGCUUGACCGAUCCUAGGAGGAAGGGCCGGCUAAUCUCGUGCCAGCAGCCGCGGUAAUACGAGAGGCCCAAACGUUAUUCGGAUUUACUGGGCUUAAAGAGUUCGUAGGCGGCGCGGAAAGUAGGGUGUGAAAGCCCUCGGCUCAACCGAGGAAUUGCGCCCUAAACUGUCGCGCUCGAGGAACCUAGAGGUGAGCAGAACUGAUGGUGGAGCGGUGAAAUGCGUUGAUAUCAUCAGGAAUACCGGAGGCGAAGGCGGCUCACUGGGGGUUAUCUGACGCUGAGGAACGAAAGCCAGGGGAGCAAACGGGAUUAGAUACCCCGGUAGUCC